GCCUUCGUGGUGUAGUGGUCAGCACGCUCGACGCGUAACCGUCCGUGGUUCGAAUCCCGGCGACGGCA
rnacentral:tRNA from 1 species